UUGAUGUCAUCUGUUGCUUAUUUUGGUUGCUUCCAAUCUGUAUUUUAGAUAGCCAGUGUUUGCAUAAUGUGAUAGUAUUUAUAAGCUCUAGAGAAACAGUGGAAUAUGGUUUCCCGUGUAAGCAGUGUUUACAGUAGUACUGUUUACACCUUCCUUGCUAAGUGAAAGCUUAUAGAUGAAAUAAAUUGAGUCCAGGGUGUACUACUAACAACACAACUGAAUUUUGAAGUUCAGAUGUUAAAAUAUCAUGAAUAGGAAAUCUGAAGGGAUGUGAUGUUAUUUACGCAUUCCUUUCGUGAAUGUCCAUAGCAUAAUAGAUAUAAUGUCUAAUCGGUAGUAAUGGAAUGGUUUCAUUAUCUAAAUGAAGGGCAUUUUGCACCAGAGAAUCAGUUCUGCGGUCAUUUACCCUUGACAGUGUACACAUUCUCCUAUCUGACCUAGCUGGCGAGUGAUCCUAGUUCAUGGCAUUGUGAGUGAAUUGCUGUGGAUUGGUUAAGAUGAAAGCAUUCACAGUUAGAUGAAUUAUGCCAUGUAGUAUAUAAAUAGUAAUUGAACUUGAAAUGGCAUUGUGAGUGAAUUGCUGUGGAUUGGUUAAGAUGAAAGCAUUCACAGUUAGAUGAAUUAUGCCAUGUAGUAUAUAAAUAGUAAUCGAAUUCGAAAGAAAAAAGAUGACCAUGCCACAUGUAUUUCUCUGCCCAUGUUUACACAGUCACACGGCUUCUCCUUUUUUAUGCCUUUUAAAGAACUGAGUGAACUGCCUUGAUGUCACUCGUGUUCCCAUGCGGGCAUACAGAAAACUGAAAGUAAUUCCUUUCUCUUCUGUUUUAUAAGAGUGUAUUCUUUGUUCUUAUGUGAAAGAAAGGUCUUACACAUAUCUUCAUGUCACCCAAUUUGGCCAUUUCAAAUGAGUUCUCACUUUAAGAAAGUGAUUUUCUUUUCUUUUAA